rnacentral:tRNA from 1 species
GGGGUUGUGGCUCAGCGGUAGAGUGCUCGCCUAGCACUUGAGAGGCUCUGCAUUCAAACCCCAGGCUCUG